rnacentral:rRNA from 2 species
GAGACCUCAGGUCAGGCGGGGCUACCCGCUGAAUUUAAGCAUAUCAAUAAGCGGAGGAAAAGAAACUAACAAGGAUUCC